CAAACACAUCCACAGAAGCAACCAAACAUUUGGCAAAAAAUCUGGCACCAGAAAAAAAUGAAUACUGAAAGCGAGCAUAAGGAUGUGAUGGAACGAAGAAAUACUGGCAUGUCACACAAAAAAGAAGAGCUGAAGGAAAACCAAAUAUGUCUAGCAAGCUAAAUAGAAAAACAUGGGCUUUCUGGCAGGCCUGGCUAAUCCCAGCAGCAGCAAUGCUACUUGAUUCAAGUGUUAAGGGAGCAUUUUAUGUCACACAGAAAAAUGUGGUAGAUGUGUUGACAUUACUGGUUUUUAUUGAACUAAUACAACAGCAAAACCAAGAAAGGUUUAACAACCUGCCCUAGAGAGUUAGCAGAGAAUUUUCUGCUCAAAGAGCUUUUUCAAUUCCUACAAUGAAUUUUCCAUAAAAACAUUUUUCAUAUGCAUUUUUAAUUUUUUUGUCUAAAUGUUCCCAUUAUCUACUCAAUUGUGGAAAAUUGUGUUGGUUUCGCCCAGCCUGGUUUUUGGUAGUGGAAGAUGGGGGUGUUCAGAGGUGGCUUCUGUGAGAAGUUGCAAGAAGCCUCUAGCAGAGCCAGUCCUUGAGGCUCUAAAGACGGACGUGCUGCUGGCCAAGUCUGGGCCAACUAGAGGGGUUGGUAAUGCAGGUGUGUUAACAUAUUUAAGAAGAAAAUCAAAACAAAGUCACAAGGUUUCUACUCCUAGUCAGAGAAGAGGAGGAGGUGAGAACAUGAGAGGGAAACAACACGGAGACACCAGGGUCAGUGGAGAGGAAGGGCAGGAGGUGCUCCAGGCACCGGAGCUGAGAUUCCCCUGCAGUCCGGGUCAGCCCAUGGUGAAGCAGCCGUGCCCCUGCAGCCCAUGGGGAUCCACAGGGAAUGCAGAGAUCCACCCGCAGCCGUGGGGGAGGUGCCCUCAGCAGGGUGGGAGAGCCUGGAGGAGGCUCUGGUCCAGUGGGAGACCUGGUGGAGAGAGAGGGCCCUGCUUCCAGGCUGGAGCAGCCUGGCCUUGGAGCGCUGCACCUGGUGGGAAGAGACCCACAUCACAGCGGCUUUGGGAGGACUGGCUGCCCACAGGAGGGGCUCAUGUUUCAGCAAUUUUGGGAGGAUUGCUGCUCAUGACGUUGGAAUCAUGCUGGAAAAGUUUGUGGAGAACUGUCGCCUGUGGGAGGGACCCCCGGUCUGACAGGGGAAGGACUCCUCUCCUGGAGCAGCAGAAGAAAACUUCGGGUGAUUAACUGAUAAAACCCCCCACACCCUGUCUCCCGGUGCUAUUGGUGGGAAGGAAGGAGUGGGUGAGGGAAGAAAACAUGGUUUUAAGGGCUUAUUUUACUUCUCAUUACCCUCCUCUGAUGCUGUUAGUAAUAAACUCUUUGUAUCUCUAAGUUGAGCCUGUUUUGCCCUAGGAGUGUUUUCUCCCAGUCGUUAUCUAAACUCAUGAACCCUUCAAUAUAUUUUUUUCUCCUUUGCCCAGCUGUAGUAGGUGAGGGUGAGUGAGUGGCUUUCAUGGGUGGACCAAUUCAGGGGUUUUUUUCUCCUUUUGGUUAAUCUUGUCUGAAGAUAACAUUUUAUGAAAGCAGUGUUAUCUGAGGUAUUUAAAAGUAACACUAUAAACUAUGAAUUCUCUUAAGGUCAUAAUUUGAAACUGUCUAGUAUUUUUGGUAGAGUUCCUCAGUAUUCCUGUGAACAAAUAUUUAGGGAGAUGUUGUCACCGUAUUUACUCCCCUGUCCUAGUGAAUAAAGAUAAACUUGGUAUACUUCAGAGGUGUGUCCCUGAGGAGUCAACCAUCUAAGAAAGGAAAAAAAAAUCAAUUCCUGUUUUGGAAUCUUCAGUUCUCUCUACAGUCACAUGGUCCAUUGAAAAAUGAGAAAUUAGCAGAGUCCACAACUAGAAACUUCUAUCGGAAUGUAGGCAUUCAGCCUGCACUUAAAAACAAAAAUAUCUCUCCCCUACUUCUGCCGGCAUCAGGGGAGCCACAUAAAAAAAUCCAAACAAACAAAUAAACCUCAACAAACCCUCAACAUGCAUAAACAAUUAAUGAAAGCAACAAGGUGCAAAAAUACUUGUGUAAUUUGAUCCCUUUUAACUGUUUUGUAAAGUAAUUCUGGCAGAGCUAAGUUAAUAAUUUCACUACAGACAAAAAGGCAGUAAUAAAACAGGGCAGGUAAAGCUAUGACAAUAAUGAAAUUAUCUAAGUAAAGCCUAUUAUCUUCAUUAAUUUUCACUCACUUUCUACCACAGUGGGAAGAUAUUAACUUGCUGAUAUCUUCUAUCCUAUUCAAAAAGAAAUGCAUCCCUUGAGCAAAUAAGCUAAAUUAAUAAUUUCUUUAUGUUAGGGAUUAAUAUUAAUAACAAUAAUUAACAAUUAAAUGUGUGCACAAAGUUUCUACUUGAAGUCUUUAAAUGCAAAAUGUGGUUGAUUGCUGUUUAAGAGAGUAUCCCUGUCUGUUGCUUUAGAAACUCUAAAGUCAGGACCUUGAAAAUCCAGAUUUUUUUAUAAAAUGCUCUAAUAGAAAAGCUUGAAUUAUUUUGUUAAACCUGUCUGUUUCUAUAGUAUUUUAGAUAUCUUCAAACCUUUUUUUUUCAGGAAAGCAUGUGGAACACAUAACAUUGUCACUACUAGCAUUUUCUAUUAAACAAAUUGAAUAAUGGUUCUGCUAUAUCUAAAGGUACAAAAAAUGAUUCAAGGUUUUGCUAAGAAAUUUUGUCAAACUGUUGUGACUGGGACUCAAAAAGAAGAUUCAAAAUUUAAAUAACCAGUAGUCAUAUUCCUUCUGUGGAAGUUUCAAUAUACUCCUCUGAGAACACAAAGUAAAGAGCCUGACUGAAGUUAUUCACUUCAGGUUUCAAAACCACUUUUCCAAUAAAUGGAAAACUUUAGAAGCUAACAGGCACAAAUUGAAGAUCUAAGCCCAUGCCCUUUCACAUGCAAUUAGAUUAAAAGUGUUGCAUAUGUGGGAUUUUAUUGUUUACAAACAAAAAUAAUUUCCUUCUGUGAAUUUCUUGGGCUUGGUAAACUUCUUGUUACAUUUGUGCUUGAGAAAGUCUACAGCUGCCUAAAUACAUCCAAAGAUACAAACAAGCUAGACAGCAGGCUAUGGAAAUAACUACUGUAAGGUAUCAGAAUUUGAUUUAAAUUGCACUCUAAGUUACAUGCAUUGCAAUUUAAAACCACACAUACCAAUGAUUAUAUUCCUCAAAAGCAAAAGCACAUCAGAGUGAUGACCUUGUUAUUCACUUUGAGGAAAACAAAACACACUAAAUAGCUCUCCAAAGAUGUUCUGGAUACCAAGACAACUGAAUGUAUCAAGCCCUUACUAGGACUUCCAAAGCCAUAAAUUUUGCAUGGCUAUGGAGCCCAUAUGAAUAAAUCUCUCAUAGCCUUUGCUGUUUUUCAGAGUAAGGGCUUGGCUCUCUUGGUGUGAGGAUUAGGCAUUGUGACUUAAAGAAUAGAUUAAGCAAAUGGAGUAAAAACUAUCACUUUUGAAAAUCUAGGAACAUGUUCUCCUGUAAGAUCAAUAGUUUAAUUUGUUUGUCCCAGGGGCUGGUAUUUCCCAAACAGUAAGACAGGAAGCAACAUAGAAGGCAAAUAUGAGAUAGAAAAUAGAAAACAGAAAUAGAAAAUUAAGAUAGAAAAUAAGCUUCAUAACCAAGACUUGCUGGAGAACAAACCAGCUGCAGCUAAUUGAUUUCUUGAAAUAGUUCUCUAUUAUGUUUCACAUAUAAUUGUCUGAAGGUGUUUUGAUAGUUGGUCUAGAGAACAAGAACUCUUCAAAUGAUGAUUUUCUUAUACAAAGUUGGACACAAGAACGAAAACAACCCAACAACAAACCACUUGAAGAGUGCAAGCAGCAAACAAACUAACAAAAUAACUACAUAUCACCCUAAAACCCCCAACGAAACAACAUCUGCAAAGACACUCAAAACAAACAAGCAAAUCACACUUAAGAGGCUGAUGCAUAUUCCUGGGGACACCAGGAAUGAUUGUGUCACCAAGAUUCCAACAGAUUUUUCAUCAGACCUUCUGAGUACAUACUCAGCAGAAGUUCUAGCACUCCUGUCUUUCUGGUGAACAGGUCAUAAUCCUAACUGCCCCCUGUUCAUUCAUUUAUUUUCUGUAUUUGAUACAAUGGACCUAGGUGGCUCGCCUAUUAAAUGUGCCUUCUGAACACCCAGCACUAAAGAACAUAAUAAUUCCUGGAUUCUGCAAAGUAAGUGCAGGUUAUUUAUGACUAGUGCAUGCUAAAAUAACUUCCAUUAAACCAUUAGCUUUAUAUUAUAUAGAUCUGCAGUAUAAAUCCAUGCAUAAGAGCUGGCUGGUAACAGUUGUGGGUAGAAAUGCAACUGAAAGGAAGAGAAUUCAAACAAGGAAUGAUGCAGACCUCUGACAAAUUACCUGAUAAAGCUCACAGAGAAAGAAAUUUAAAUAAUUUAACCUCAUGUAUCUGAGUUUUAUUUUAAAGUGAGUAUUGUCAAAAAUAUAAGGAAAGGCUUUUCUCCUGUUUGAAUAAAGGUCCAUGAAAGUCAAGGACUCUAGGAGCUAGGGUUAAAAAAACCCAAAGAAACAAAAAAUCACUAACCCAAAAUAAAAUAAAGAAAACAAUCUAACAAAAUCUCACCAGAAGAAAAAGGGAACACCACACCUAUCUGAAAUAAGAAGGCAAAGAUCAAAUGAGAAAAGAUAAUUCAAAUAAUUCUGUCUGAACAAGAUGUCUCCGAUAUACAUGAUCCAAGCAGAUAGGAGAGAAUUUGGGUCCUCUGUGGUAAAAUUCUGUUCCCAUUUACUGUGAUGCAACUCCCCUUUAAGUCACUGGAAGCAAAGUCUAAAAUACAGACGACAAAAUAAGUUCUAAUUUACAUUACAGACUAACUCCUACCACUGAUAUUUAAGAUAUGCAGAAUCAGGGAAACUGUUACUGAGGAUGAGUCUUGGAAUAAAAGUUGGCACCUGAAAUUUUCUAAAAUUGCCACAAUACACAUUUAAGUCCCUAAAAGCUUCUUUAUCAGCUGAAAAGAUGAAUAGGAAAUUACAUGGUGAAAGCUGCUGUUGGGGAAUUGCAGUAAACAUGACUGAUAAUACGUAUUUAAUAUUGUGAUAUAAUACAAAUAAAGGUCCUUUUAGAAAGUGUGAGGAAAGAAAAAAGAAGAAUUCUGCAUUGUGAACAAAUACAGAAGUUCUUUUAUUAAAAGUUCAAUGGAAGUCAAGUGAUGAAUUUCAAAAGGCAAUUUUGCUUGAUUUGAGAGAAUUUAAAUAAGAAAUGAAUAGCAGUUUAACACCUUCUCUUCUCUUUGCCAAAAAAAACACAUCCCGCCUUCCUUUGCAAAUUUUGCAUUCUAAACACACAUUGUGAACUCUGAACAGAAUGAAGGCCUGCCUGAAAAUUAUAAAUUCACUUACUGCUGCUAUUUUGAAUUAAUAUAUUAUGUUAGCCUUAAAUUACUGUAGUGGACAAACAAGCUGAGUCUUUCAAAACUGUUGUUCCCAAGGGGAAAACGCUGCUUGUCAAAGCUAAAAUCCCUUAAUGUUUCCGUGAAUGAGAUGUAAAGAGUGUUUUUUAAGCAUUCACAAUGUUCUUAUUAUCCCAAUAUACUGUUUACACAGGAUAAUGAAUUACCAUACACUAACAUAAUACACAUACAAAUAAGGAUAUAUAUGUAUCUGUUAAGAAAAAAAGAAUAUUCCUCACACUACAUCUCCAAUGCAAGUACACUUCCAAAGACCAUUUAUUCUCUUGUGAGCUUAUGAAUUGUUCACACUCAGCUCUUUACUGGACACUUUUUGAUACCUGGAAAACAAAACAUUGGAAGGGAAUAUUUGCGAAGUGUAAUUCAAGAGGAACUUAGCACUGCUGUUAGUUUUGGUGUGAACUAUUCCUUGCUGCAAAACUGGCACAACUGCUGGUGCACCCACACACAGCUUUCAAAACCUGGAAUUUGCCUUUUUAGGUACCAUCUAGAUCUGCACUGAUUCAAUGAACAUACUUUAAAAAUAAAUAUUGCAUUCAGCUUCCUGGAUGCCCAUCAAUACGAAGUUGCUAACACUCUGUGGGAGGAAAGAUUAAAAAAAUAAUAAUAAAGUAACAAAAAUGGAACUAGAACAGAAUGUGGGUGUUUAGUAUAACAAGUACACUUUGACAAGAAUGUAAGCAGUUUGCAGAAAGUAUUUAACUUGAUUGGCAGAAAUCUCUUAGAAGCAAAUUAGUAAUGCAAACUAUUUAAAGAAAAAUUAGAAAUACGAUUUAAGCAUAUUGGAUACACAUUAAGGAUUGAAUUAUGUAAAACCCAUCACACAGCAUGAUCCAGCAGUCCUCAAAUCUACUCAUUUUAUUCGGAUCAUUUAUUUCCAUCACAAUUUAAUCAAAGUAGUUAAAGAGCAGGUUUGAUAUGUCUGUAAGUAUCACAUUAUGAAUUAAUGGUCAAACAACAAUAGUAAGUGUUCAUUGGUCUGCAUGAAGUGAACCUUAAUUCUGGAGUUUGACUUAUGAUCUUAGCCUGUACUGGAAUAUGUGCAAUGGCCUGAGAACUUUCCACCUGGGUAUUUCAACACCCUCCUUUUUUUGAUAAUUUGUCAAACUAUGUUCAUUAUAAUUAUGAGAGCAGCAUGGGGUUACCGUCAAUACUCAACAGCCCAUUUCCUUUUUUUCCGAAUAAGAGGUCUGUUUGUUUCUUCUUUACCAGUACAGAGCAGGAGAGAUUGUCAACCUACUCUUACAUUUUUCUUUCAGAAUAAAUAUUUUUCUGUUUCAACAAAUUCUCCACCAGAUAUUCUCAUUUUUCUUGGUAGGAAAAACACCUCCUUAUUAGCCAUUAAAAUUAUUAGAAUAUUCAACCAGUUCCUUUUAGUGGUUUUUUUUUUUUUUUUAAUUAAGAAGAAAUAAAAUAUUUUUUCCUAUGUUUUUUAAAAAGCCCUAGUUCCAAUACCAUUACCUAAUUUAAGUCUGGAAAAGCUUUUUGUUUGUUUGUUUUUAAUUGUUUGACUUGUGGUGUAUUAUUUAAAAACAAAACAAACAAAGCCCCAAAAUAACCCCAGGGAAACGCAAAUCUACACAGUACAAUUCAGAGAACUUUCAACAAGCAAGAAAACAUAGAAAGAUCAAAUCUGAAUUUAUAAAAAUAUGUCUAUUUCACACAUUUUUUUCCUGAUGGAUUAAGAAAAAAAUGUAAUAGAUUCAAAUGUAUUUCUGAAAGUUGUUCUUUGCAGAUGUAACAGUAACAUCAAAAAAAUUCACCCAGCAGAAGGUGGGAAGAAAGGAGGAAGACAAGCAAGCAGAAUCUCAGUCUUUGUUCCCUGAGCUUUUGCUAAAAGAUGACAAGACACUAACUCUCAAAAUACAGAUGGAAGACAUCUCCAGGGAAGGAUACAGGUGCUACAGUUCAUGAGCAACAGCAACAGGAAAAAUGUAAUUACUUGUGUAUAAUAUUGAUGGGAAAAGAAGAUCCAGCAGAGCACAAAGAGCAUAGGGAAAACCCUGAAAUAUUCAAAAACUAUCUUCAUAUUUGGCUCUGUGCUCGCAGUUUCAGAGUCAGUGGUGCUUAUGAUCUUAUCAGAACUGUGAAGUCAUACAAGCAGACUGCCUCCCAUUUCUUUGGAAAAAGAUAAGUUAACAAUAAACAACAGUUUUUCCAAGUCUAAAGGUAGAGCAUAAAUGUAAUCUAUACAUUAAUGUACAUUACACAUAAAUGUGUUUAUAUGUGCAUGGAAACUAUUGGUUCUUCACAUUCAUUUUUCAAUACAAAGAUUAAUAUACAUGAUUAAUAUAUAUUCCCUUCAAAGGUUCUGCAGGAUCUAAUGUCUUUUGACCAGAGAUGAGUUCAAUACUCCUCUACUUUAUAAAAGUAAAGGAUUUUAUAGAUGAUUACAGUAAGGCCACUUGACACACUUCAAAACACUAAGUCAGUUAAGAGAACAGAUUGAACUUGGAGAUCUUAGUUUUAUUUCUGUGAUUAAUUAGUUAUCUUUCAGAAUUUGAUAAGGAAUCUUUUAAUACUGUUGAGCAAUCAUUUCUUUCAGCUAUUCUGGACAAUCAAAGCUACCUAGUCUUCAAGAAGGGAUUAACUCCUAGGACCCUCUGUAAGAAUGACUUAAUUAAAAAGGCUUAAGAGAAGAAAUGCUUUAAUACAGGAAAUGAGAACUCUUUGACCCCUAGAGGUUGACUGAAAGUUAUCACUUUCUUGAAAAUGAGUGAUCAAUAAAAACUCAAAAGAGGAAUUAUCUUUAAAGAUGGUGAAGAAGUUGCUGCUGCUAGAAAAUAAGGAAAAUAUCUUGUGUUUUUAUGAGCUUCAGGUUCUACACAAAGCAUUCACAGAAGUGCUGAGGCACUGUGCACAGCAGCUGCUCUACACUGAGCCUACACAAUUUCUUCAGUUUUCUGAGGGAUACAGGGCAUGAAAUGCAAGAUCUCUUAAAAAUUAUGCAUGUUUCCUUUCCACCAUUAACUUCUCACAUUUCUUUACAGCAGGUUUAGCUGCACACAUUCCCCUUCAUUCCUACAAAUGUCCAUCAGUACCUGGAAUCAUCUCAUGGGAUUCACUUUAUCUCAAAGAUACCAGCAUGGAAAUCAGAGUCAGCAUGGCAUUUUUGCUUCAGCAAAGCUGUUCAUUUUUGCUCCAGCACUGCUGUUCUACAACAUAGUGAUAACGUUUGGCUGUUAGGAAGUCAGAGAACUUAUAUCAAAAAAUGGAUAUCCUGGCUCUUUAAGAAACCAUCCAGAACAUAUUAAGUCAUCUAGAAUAUAUGGAAAACUAAUGGCAGCCAGUAGUAAUUAAUGUGACUGAACAAUCCAAGUUUUCUUCUCUAGCUAAAGUAAGUUUACAAAAACUGUCAGCUAGUAAAAGCAUUGAAUGAGGCAGAAACAAGGAGUGAGAGGGAGCACUACUGGAUUAAAUUAAGCUGAUUCAAAUAGGAUAAAGUAAAUGGCUAAAAAGCGGCUAGAAAUAAUGAAACAGGUAUUGAAGCCAGCCUGAUAGUAGGAAGUUACCAGGAAAAACCAUGUAAAUUAAGUGAAAUGGCACAAAUUUAAUGGAUAUAUGGCAAGCAGAGUAAGGGAAAUAAAUGGACAAACAGAUAUCUGAGAUAGAAAUCAACUACCCCAAGAACAGCCACAACUUCAGUGUCAGCCCAAUGACAAUACAGAAACACAUCUUGUUAUAAAGCCUUUAGUGAAAACUAUGCAUAUAUGAGUUGGGACAAGCAUUAGCUCAACCUGUAAUUAAUUUUAUUACAGUAGUUAUCCAUUGCCUUACUUGUACAUCUGGAUGGGGAAAAACUCAACUCCAAAUGAGCUGGGCAAAUCAACCUCAGGCAAAAUUAUACCCAACUUCCUUGCUAUAAAGAGACUCUGAUUCUCUGAGUCUCACAGAAGAUAUUUGCACAGCAGGAACAGUCUUGAACAUUCAGACCUUUGAGAACAGCUUAUAAUCAUGUGGAGAUCAGCUGCCACUUCUUGUCACCUGUAUUUCUGAAAAAUGUCAUAUAUGCAGUCUGUUGAUGUACUGUAAAUUGUUUUCAAGGAAUUAGUCUCCUGCAGGUUGAAGCAAAUGAUUCCAAACUCUUUUGUAGCAAGCUGACUUGACAUUGCAACAGUCAAGUUUUUUAACUAUUGGCUUCCACAAAGAUAUCAUGUUUGUGUGUGUCCAAGCACAGAACACACAAUGUCCAUACCACACCUGCAGUGCUUCAUAAAUCAAAAAAACUGGAAAUAUUAUUAUAAAUACAAUAACUAGGAAAUAGAACAUUCAUAUUUUAUGGAUGGCAUAUUUGGCAAUUUUCAUUUGCCAGUAAUCUGUGUUGGUGAUUCUCAGAAUGUCCUCUGUAGAGCACAUUCUCAGUAGUGCUCUGUAGAGCUGUAGAGCACUCCACUUCUGUGGAGUCUGAGGAGUUAUUUUUCUCAAAAUUGUACAGUAGUGAUGAAAAAUUGAAAUACAGGGUCAACCCACUCUGCAAGGAAAUUUGAUUUGAGUCUGCUUCAAAGAGUAUUGCCACUGUUCCCUUAUAUUUUGCUGGUUUAUGGACAUAAAAUGAA